UAGGUUGAGACCAGUUGUAUAAGGUAUUUAGCUGUUAACUAAAAAUUCGUGGGGUCGGAGCCCACCAACCUAG
rnacentral:tRNA from 1 species